UGGCUGCCAUGUUCCCAUCUUGAUGAUAAUGGACUGAACCUCUGAAUCUCUCCAAGACUGAUGAACCCUGGGGCUGAGCACAUGAACUCUGUUCUAGUUGACACGGCCUUUAGCAUGCACCAUGAUUCUGAACUCAGCGACAGUCUAGAGCACACAGAGGCGAACUGCAAAACAACUCGUCCAUCUUACAGUGGAAACGGUGUCUCCCAAACUUGAACUGCACUGGAAUCUCUCGGGGGAUCUUUUAAAAUGAAAGUCCUGAACUCAGUCAGUCCAGGGACACACAUCCCCCUCUCCCAGCACUUGUGAGGUAGAGGCAGAAGGAGCAAGGAUUCAUAGUCAUGCUCAACUACAGCGAGCUCAGGACCAGCCUGGACUACAGGAGAGCCCAUUCUAAUUAACUGAUUAAUUGAUGAGAUGCAGUACCGACGGGACAAGUCUGAUAUGAGGCUGGAGACUCUGCAAGUCUAACAGUUUCGAUGACGGUGGACCACACUUUGACUAACAAGAGUGUAGACAGAUUAAGCAGAAAACUACUGGCUUCCAAGUUCCAGAAGAUGAAUUUUAAUUUCUGGGGUAGUUAAUGAGACGAGGGGCAUGCUCUCGCAGAGAAACAGCCUAUGCAAAGAUCCAGAAAUAUGAAAUUGCCUGUUGCAUUCCAAGCACCAAUUUCAGUGAGCAGGAGAGUGGAGAGGCUUCCUAAGGGGCAUCUAUGAUAAUGGGAUAGAGGAAGUAGAGAUGUAGGUGAAUCCAGACUACGUGACUGACUAGAUGUGGAAGGAUGGACAUGACGUCAUGGCCCUAGGCAAACAAGUAGGUAAAGGAUCUACUGCAGGGCUUGGAGAUCUGGCUCCACGGUUAGGAGCAUGAACUGCUCUUAUAAACAACCAGAGCUGAAUUCCCAGUGUCCACACAAGGCCGUGAAGUGAAUAGAUUCCUACUGCCAUGAUGUUCUGCCUUACUGCAAGCCUAGAGUCAAGGACUGUGGACCUCUGAAACCAUAAACUACACAAAUCUACUCC